GCAAACAUGGCGGCGCUGCCUUAAUCAUGCUAGCCCGAGCGGAACCGAAACGAGAGCUUGCUCUUCUUCGGUCAGCGGCGGACGGGUGAGUAACACGUGGGCAACCUGCCCGCAAGACCUGGGCUAACUCCGGGAAACCGGAGCUAAUACCGGAUAACACCAAAGACCGCAUGGUCUUUGGUUGAAAGGCGGCUUCGGCUGUCACUUGCGGAUGGGCCCGCGGCGCAUUAGCUAGUUGGUGAGGUAACGGCUCACCAAGGCGACGAUGCGUAGCCGGCCUGAGAGGGUGACCGGCCACACUGGGACUGAGACACGGCCCAGACUCCUACGGGAGGCAGCAGUAGGGAAUCUUCCGCAAUGGACGAAAGUCUGACGGAGCGACGCCGCGUGAGCGAAGAAGGCCUUCGGGUCGUAAAGCUCUGUUGUGAGGGACGAAGGAGCGCCGUUUGAAUAAGGCGGCGCGGUGACGGUACCUCACGAGAAAGCCCCGGCUAACUACGUGCCAGCAGCCGCGGUAAUACGUAGGGGGCGAGCGUUGUCCGGAAUUAUUGGGCGUAAAGCGCGCGCAGGCGGUCCUUUAAGUCUGAUGUGAAAGCCGACGGNUCAACCGUGNAGGGUCAUUGGANACUGGGGGACUUGANUGCAGGAUUUAAUUCGAAGCAACGCGAAGAACCUUACCAGGUCUUGACAUCCCCUGACAACCCAAGAGAUUGGGCGUUCCCCCUUCGGGGGGACAGGGUGACAGGUGGUGCAUGGUUGUCGUCAGCUCGUGUCGUGAGAUGUUGGGUUAAGUCCCGCAACGAGCGCAACCCUUGCCUCUAGUUGCCAGCAUUCAGUUGGGCACUCUAGAGGGACUGCCGGCUAAAAGUCGGAGGAAGGUGGGGAUGACGUCAAAUCAUCAUGCCCCUUAUGACCUGGGCUACACACGUGCUACAAUGGGCGGUACAAAGGGCUGCGAACCCGCGAGGGGGAGCGAAUCCCAAAAAGCCGCUCUCAGUUCGGAUUGCAGGCUGCAACUCGCCUGCAUGAAGCCGGAAUCGCUAGUAAUCGCGGAUCAGCAUGCCGCGGGGAAUACGUUCCCGGGCUUUGUUCACCCCGCCCGUCACACCACGAGAGCUUGCAACGCC
rnacentral:rRNA from 1 species